rnacentral:rRNA from 1 species
UAGGGAAUCUUCGGCAAUGGGGGGAACCCUGACCGAGCAACGCCGCGUGAGUGAAGAAGGUUUUCGGAUCGUAAAGCUCUGUUGUUAAGGAAGAACGAGUGUGAGAAUGGAAAGUUCAUGCUGUGACGGUACUUAACCAGAAAGGGACGGCUAACUACGUGCCAGCAGCCGCGGUAAUACGUAGGUCCCGAGCGUUGUCCGGAUUUAUUGGGCGUAAAGCGAGCGCAGGCGGUUAGAUAAGUCUGAAGUUAAAGGCAGUGGCUCAACCAUUGUAGGCUUUGGAAACUGUUUAACUUGAGUGCAGAAGGGGAGAGUGGAAUUCCAUGUGUAGCGGUGAAAUGCGUAGAUAUAUGGAGGAACACCGGUUGCGAAAGCGGCUCUCUGGUCUGUAACUGACGCUGAGGCUCGAAAGCGUGGGGAGCGAACAGG